CCUCCUUAAACGAAAUUCCUGUACUUUUGGUAAGUGCUCACACGCAUUGUUUGAUUAUUUUUGGUUAGCAGUGAAACACGGUAUGCCGACCGGGCUGCUACGACCCGUCGGAGAUAAUUGGGUCUGUAGCUCAGUUGGUUAGAGCGCACCCCUGAUAAGGGUGAGGUCGGUGGUUCAAAUCCACCCAGACCCACCAAUUGCCCGCAUACGGGGCUAUAGCUCAGCUGGGAGAGCGCCCGCCUUGCACGCAGGAGGUCAGCGGUUCGAUCCCGCUUAGCUCCACCAUCUUAUCCAAAGUGGAUAUAUUGCAUCAACGAGAUCAGAAAGAAGUCUGUUUUUAUGAGCAGGCUUCUUUCUGGUUUUUACAGCCGGAACGUUCUUUAACAAGGUAGAUUAAGCUGAAUCUUUGAGCUGACAUAAAGCACUUUGGUGAGUUAUGCGGUUCAUUGAUAAAUUGUUCUGUGAUGACGGGUUUCAAUUCCCUGUUGUCACAACGAGUUGUAAUAAACAUUGUGACUUAAGCGUCACAAACGUCCGGCGGGUGUGCACUA
rnacentral:tRNA from 1 species